rnacentral:precursor_RNA from 16 species
UGAUAGACAAUCCCUAUUCUGCCCGUGUCCAAUGGCUUUCAUCCUUUGUGAAUGUCUGAGCACAGUUCACACUGAUGGGGGUUAUUGGACAAGAGUAAGACUUAUGGCUCCAGUGUAG